AUAACACAUUCAAGUCGAACGGUGACGAGGACUUCGGUCCUCUGAUCAGUGGCGGACGGGUGAGUAACGCGUGAGCAACCUGCCCUUGUGUGGGGGAUAACGUCCCGGAAACAGACGCUAAUACCGCAUAACGUAUUCAGAUCGCAUGAUCAGAAUACCAAAGAUUUAUUGCGCAAGGAUGGGCUCGCGUUGGAUUAGAUAGUUGGUGGGGUAACGGCCUACCAAGUCAACGAUCCAUAGCCGGACUGAGAGGUUGAACGGCCACAUUGGAACUGAGAAACGGUCCAGACUCCUACGGGAGGCAGCAGUGGGGAAUAUUGGGCAAUGGGGGAAACCCUGACCCAGCAACGCCGCGUGAAGGAAGAAGGCCCUCGGGUUGUAAACUUCUUUUACCAGGGACGAAGACGUGACGGUACCUGGAGAAAAAGCCACGGCUAACUACGUG
rnacentral:rRNA from 1 species